CAGUCGAGGGGCACGGUGGUGAAGGCUUGCCUUUACAGCCGGCGACCGGCUCACGGGUGAGUAACACGUAUGCAACCUGCCUGCCACAGCCGGAUAAUCGGGAGAAAUCCCGUCUAAUACGGCAUAAUGCACCUAUGGGACAUCCUGUUGGUGCCAAAGGUUAAUUCCGGUGGCGGAUGGGCAUGCGUCGCAUUAGUUAGUUGGCGGUGUAACGGACCACCAAGACGACGAUGCGUAGGGGUUCUGAGAGGAAGGUCCCCCACACUGGUACUGAGACACGGACCAGACUCCUACGGGAGGCAGCAGUGAGGAAUAUUGGUCAAUGGGCGGGAGCCUGAACCAGCCAAGUCGCGUGAGGGAUGACGGCCCUAUGGGUUGUAAACCUCUUUUGCCGGGGAGCAAAGUGCCGCACGUGUGCGGUUUGGAGAGUACCCGGAGAAAAAGCAUCGGCUAACUCCGUGCCAGCAGCCGCGGUAAUACGGAGGAUGCGAGCGUUAUCCGGAUUUAUUGGGUUUAAAGGGUGCGUAGGCGGACGCUUAAGUCAGCGGUAAAAUUGCGGGGCUCAACCUCGUCGAGCCGUUGAAACUGGGUGUCUUGAGUGGGCGAGAAGUACGCGGAAUGCGUGGUGUAGCGGUGAAAUGCAUAGAUAUCACGCAGAACUCCGAUUGCGAAGGCAGCGUACCGGCGCCCAACUGACGCUGAAGCACGAAGGCGUGGGUAUCGAACAGGAUUAGAUACCCUGGUAGUCCACGCAGUAAACGAUGAAUGCUAGUUGUCCGGGGCG
rnacentral:rRNA from 1 species